UUCAAAUGAUGUUAAUCUCACGAUGGUCUUCCGAGCCUGUGGUGCUCUGAGGACAAAACAGAACGACAAUUCUGAUGUAGUGUU
rnacentral:snoRNA from 1 species